UGUCUCAAAGAUAAGCCAUGCAUGUCUAAGUACCAUACUCUUGAAAGUGAAACUGCAAACGGCUCAGUAAAACGGUCGUAAUGUCGUGGCCUGCAAGUCUACUUGGAUAACUGUGGCAAUUCUAGAGCUAAUACAUGCACCUAGUCUCCGAUCGAAGGGCUUCUCACGAGGUCUGGACAGACGAGCGCAUUUAUCAGUUUGAAGCCAGCGGGGUUCGUAGAACCGUUUAACCGGUUGGGCCUUCAUUUGACUCUAGAUAACUUUGCCGAUCGAACGGUUGUAACUUCCUAAGACUUGGCCAGACAACGUCUGACCCAUCACACUGUCGACGGUUGGGACUGUGCCCACCAUGGUGAUUACGGGUGACGGGGGAUCAGGGUUCGAUUCCGGAGAGGGAGCAUGAGACACGGCUACCACAUCCAUGGAAGGCAGCAGGCGCGCAACUUACCCAAUCUCGACACGAGGAGGUAGUGACGAAAAAUAUCAUUCGGGGCUUUGAAGAGGUCUCGUUAUUGAAAUGGGCGCAAUGUAGGCAUUUGCGCGAGGAACAAUUGGAGGGCAAGUCUGGUGCCAGCAGCCGCGGUAACUCCAGCUCCAAUAGUGUAUAUAUAUGUUGUUGCGGUUAAAACGCUCGUAGUUGGAUCUCGAGACCACUGGGAGGUGUCGUCCGUUAGGGUUUGGCUAGUGCGCACGGGCGUUCCGAAAGAAUGCGGAUUUCCGCUUCGACCGUGGACGUUGCGUGUUGCCUGGUCACCUGGACCCCGCUCAACGGUUUCAACGCGCGCGGCGGCGGUCCGCCACCCUUUGCGGGGUGUGCGCUGACCCGUCCCAAGCGCUGUUACUGUGUAAAAAUCAGAGUGCUCAAAGCAGGCCGAGCCUAUUGCUUGGAUGGUGUUACAUGGAAUAGCCGAAUAGGACCCCGGUUCCGAUUUUGGCUGGUUUUUUUAGGAAUUGACGGGAGUAAUGAUUGAGAGAGUCAGCGCGGGGGCAUCCGUAUUGCUCCGGGAGGGGUGAAAUCCGUAGAUCGAAGCAAGACGAACGAAAGCGAAAGCAUUUGCCAAGGAUGUUUUCAUUAAUCAAGAACUAACGUUAGAGGUUCGAAGACGAUCAGAUACCGUCGUAGUUCUGACCCUAAACUAUGCCAACUGGCUGUCCGCCAAACGUAGUGCUAUCUUUAUUGUCUGUGACGGGGCGGGUGGCCUAUCCCCGAAAGGAAAGUCUUCGGGCUCCGGGGGAAGUAUGGUUACAAAACUGGAACUUAAAGGAAUUGACGGAAGGGCACCACCAGGAGUGGAGCCUGCGGCUUAAUUUGACUCAACACGGGGAAGCUUACCCGGUCCGGACACUGGUAUGAUUGACAGAAUCGAGCUCUUUCUUGAUCCAUGGGGUGGUGGUGCAUGGCCGUUCUUAGUCCGUGAAGCGAUUUGUCUGGUUAAUUCCGCUAACGAGACGAGACCCCAGCCAGCUUAAUAGUUUCUCGGUCCCUUUCCGGGGCCGCGGUUAGAGAGGAGUGGGCCGUUCGCGGUUGCACAUGAUCUCGGUACUUCUUAGAGGGACGGGUGGUUAAGCCAAACCACAGGAAGUUGGGUCCAUAACAGGUCUGUGAUGCCCUUAGAUGUCCGGGGCCGCACGCGUGCUACAUUGGUGGAGUCAGUGUGGACUUCUGUAAGCGCUAAGUUAACGAAAGCCAACUCCGAGAGGAGCUCUUUGGAACUCAGCCAAGUUUCAUCCCGUAGUGGGGAUUGAGGUUUGAAAUGCACCUCAUGAACGAGGAAUUCCUAGUAGUCGCUCGUCAUCAUCUGGCGUCGAUUGCGUCCCUGCCCUUUGUACACACCGCCCGUCGCUACUACCGAUGAGUGGCUUAGUGAGCCGUUUGGACUGAAAAUUGCCCUGAGCAUUUGACGGGAAGAUCGGCAAACUCUGUCAUUUAGAGGAAGUAAAAGUCGUAACAAGGUUUCC
rnacentral:rRNA from 1 species